AUUGAACGCUGGCGGCAUGCUUAACACAUGCAGGUCGAACGGGAGAGGGCAACCCUCUUCAGUGGCGGACGGGUGAGUAAUAUAUAGGAAUCUGCCCUAAAGUGGGGGACAACUCGGGAAACGUCGAGCUAAUACCGCAUAAUCUUUACGAAGCAAAGUCGGGGACCGUAAGGCCUGGCGCUUUGGGAUGAGCCUAUAUCGGAUUAGCUAGUUGGUGGGGUAAAAGCCUACCAAGGCAACGACCGUAGCUGGUCUGAGAGGAUGAUCAGCCACACUGGGACUGAGACACGGCCCAGACUCCUACGGGAGGCAGCAGUGGGGAAUAUUGGACAAUGGGGAAACCGUGAUCCAGCAAUGCCGCGUGUGUGAAGAAGGCC
rnacentral:rRNA from 1 species